CUGCUGCCUUCCGUAGGAGUUGGGCCGUGUCUCAGUCCCAAUGUGGCCGGUUCACCCUCUCAGGCCGGCUACUGAUCGUUGCCUUGGUAGGCCAUUACCCCACCAACUAGCUAAUCAGACGCGGAACCAUCGUAUACCACCAGAGUUUUUCACACCGCUUCAUGCGAAGCUGUGCGCUUAUGCGGUAUUAGCACCUAUUCUAAGUGUUAUCCCCCAGUAUACGGCAGGUUUUCCACGCGUUACUCACCCGUCCGCCA
rnacentral:rRNA from 1 species